rnacentral:rRNA from 1 species
CACUAAGACCAACUAGGACGGUCAUCAGUAUACGAACAGAGUUUCUAAUUCGGUACGUACAGAUUCAUAUUUGACGAAUAUGACACUUUGACGCUUACCGAGUAAUUUAGUCAAUAUCAAAUAAACUACCAUGGAAAUGAGCCUAUUGGCAUCAUUAAGAUCUCGAUUAUGCACGCAUUUAGGGCUGAAGACCUUCCCUGCAUAAAUAAUCUAUUUUCCGGUCGGCCCGAACGGGCUGAGAACCGCUUAGUACUAUUGAAGUGCUUAGCGUGCCGAAGCCGGCCGCUACAAAGUAAGUUUAAAGACGGGAUAGUUGAAAGCUACCAUCCUAUCUCCGGAUGGUACCACCAUUGCCCACUGCCUCCUAAUCCCAAGCUAAGGCCUCUCCCUCGGACUCUUUGCCGAUGGUGUAGGUUCCUUCCGUCGUCCGCGCGUUUAAUGGGUUAGGGCUGUGCCCCUCCAUCACUGUUAUUUAUUGUUAUGGCCCGUAAAAACAGACCAUUAACCUUACUCAUGUUAGAUUUAGGGAAUUGCUCAUAGGUAACCUCCCGUUCAGACCA